rnacentral:rRNA from 1 species
UCCAACAAUGCAGCCGAAUAUGAGGCCCUUUUACAUGGUCUCCGGAUGGCAGUAUCCAUGCGCAUUCAAUGCCUAGAGGUGCAGGGGGAUUCGAACCUUGCAAUAUCCCAAAUAAAUGGAGACUUUGAUGCCAAGGAUCCGAAAAUGGCGGCCUAUCGCAAUGCCAUCCUAAAAAUAUCAGCUCAAUUCGAGGGGCUCGAAUUUCACCAUGUAGCCCGGGAAAACAAUCAGGCGGAAGAUGUCCUCGCAUGCAUCGGUGCAAAAUGCGAUGCAGUCCCCCCCAACAUCUUUUUGGAGAGGCUGUUCAAGCCAUCCGUGGUAUGGGAAGGGGAACCCAACAAUAACAGCCCGGACCCAACCGCAAUGCCCGAUACCGAACACUCUGACAUAAUCAGAGGCUCUGCCAUCGAAAUA